GGCUAUGAGAGCAGACUGGGGGUGACAUCUGUCAGUACAUUAAUUAUUAGAGAUGAUCUGGCCAUCAUCUGGAUAACUGGCUGACUUAGUAUCCCCUCCCUCCCUUACCAUGCCAUGUGCAUCUUUUCUGAAGCUGCAGACCCAAGGAAAGAGAAUGACUUUCCCAGGUAGAAGAGUCCUCCUUAGUCAUAGGUCCAUUCUUCAUUAGAACCUCCAACUCAGCUCUACCUGUUAAAGCAGCUAAGAUAUUUUGGUACAUAUUCUGGUUUUGCUCACUUGAAAGAUCUAUGCAGAAAGCCGGAUU
rnacentral:snRNA from 10 species